AAAAGGUCUCUGGUUCUGUUACACU
rnacentral:piRNA from 1 species